rnacentral:rRNA from 1 species
GACGAACGCUGGCGGCGUGCUUAACACAUGCAAGUCGAACGGAAAGGCCCCUUUGGGGGUACUCGAGUGGCGAACGGGUGAGUAACACGUGCGUAACCUGCCCUUGACUUCGGGAUAACUUCAGGAAACUGGGGCUAAUACCGGAUAGGAAUCCUUGCUGCAUGGUGGGGGUUGGAAAGCUUCGGCGGGUUUGGAUGGACUCGCGGCUUAUCAGCUUGUUGGUGGGGUAGUGGGUUACCAAGGCUUUGACGGGUAGCCGGCCUGAGAGGGCGACCGGCCACAUUGGGACUGAGAUACGGCCCAGACUCCUACGGGAGGCAGCAGUGGGGAAUAUUGCACAAUGGGCGGAAGCCUGAUGCAGCAACGCCGCGGGCGGGAUGACGGCCUUCGGGUUGGAAACCGCUUUCAGCAGGGGCGAAGCUUGUGGUGACGGUACCUGCAGAAGAAGCACCGGCUAACUACGUG